UUAAAGAUGCAUGAAGGAAUGAAGGGAGAAGAUGUGUAUGCAGGCACAUCACCAAAGACAAGAGAUGCAGACUUCCAGGAGUGAAAUAACAGAAAACAACCAGUGACUCACCGUGACACUGGAAAUGGCUGUGAAGAACGCAGAAUGCUGAGAGCCAACUGUCCAAUGGAUGAACAUGAGAAAGAACUAAGACAACCCCUCGAUUUCCUAAAUAUGCCAAAGGAAAGCCUCCCUUGGGGAAUGGCUGAUGCUUGGAAUAUAGAUGGCAUGUAUAAUUACUUAGUUUACAAACUGGGGUCAGUUUGACAUUAUAUGAUAAGCUGUAAGGAGAAGAAAUCUUCUUACCUCUCUACGUUCCUAAUUUGGCUGUAAAUG
rnacentral:lncRNA from 1 species